CUACGGGAGGCAGCAGUGGGGAAUCUUGCGCAAUGGGCGAAAGCCUGACGCAGCGACGCCGCGUGAGUGAUGAAGGCCUUCGGGUUGUAAAGCUCUGUGGGGAGAGACGAAUAAGUGCAGCCUAAUACGUUGCAUGAUGACGGUAUCUCCAUAGCAAGCACCGGCUAACUCUGUGCCAGCAGCCGCGGUAAGACAGAGGGUGCAAACGUUGUUCGGAAUUACUGGGCGUAAAGCGAGUGUAGGCGGUCUCGUAAGUCGGGUGUGAAAGCCCCGGGCUCAACCCGGGAAGUGCACUCGAAACUGCGAGGCUAGAGUACUGGAGAGGUUGGUGGAAUUCUCGGUGUAGAGGUGAAAUUCGUAGAUAUCGAGAGGAACACCGGUGGCGAAGGCGGCCAACUGGACAGAUACUGACGCUGAGACUCGAAAGCGUGGGGAGCAAACAGGAUUAGAAACCCGGGUAGUCC
rnacentral:rRNA from 1 species